AAAUACUUCCGACGUUAAAUGUCAGAGACUCGGGCAUUGAUAGAUUACCAAUUGUUUUACCCAGUAAGAAUCAAGAUUUGCUUAUUGGUAUCCCAAAAUUGGAAAAAUCAACAGGAAAAUAACAAGCUAAUGCUAUUUUUUAUGCAUUAGAAAAUUGGGGCGUAACAAAUGUUGUUCAAGCUAUAUGCUGUGAUACCACAGCUUCAAAUACAGGGCGUUUAAAUGGUGCAUGCGUUUUAUUGGAACAAAAAUUGGGAAGAGACUUACUUUACCUACCAUGUCGCCACCACAUAUACGAAAUAGUUUUACGUGGCGUUUUUGAAACUCUACUUCCUCAUA